UAGAACGCUGAAGAGAGGAGCUUGCUCUUCUUGGAUGAGUUGCGAACGGGUGAGUAACGCGUAGGUAACCUGCCUUGUAGCGGGGGAUAACUAUUGGAAACGAUAGCUAAUACCGCAUAACAAUGGAUGACACAUGUCAUUUAUUUGAAAGGGGCAAUUGCUCCACUACAAGAUGGACCUGCGUUGUAUUAGCUAGUAGGUGAGGUAAUGGCUCACCUAGGCGACGAUACAUAGCCGACCUGAGAGGGUGAUCGGCCACACUGGGACUGAGACACGGCCCAGACUCCUACGGGAGGCAGCAGUAGGGAAUCUUCGGCAAUGGGGGCAACCCUGACCGAGCAACGCCGCGUGAGUGAAGAAGGUUUUCGGAUCGUAAAGCUCUGUUGUAAGUCAAGAACGGGUGUGAGAGUGGAAAGUUCACACUGUGACGGUAGCUUACCAGAAAGGGACGGCUAACUACGUGCCAGCAGCCGCGGUAAUACGUAGGUCCCGAGCGUUGUCCGGAUUUAUUGGGCGUAAAGCGAGCGCAGGCGGUUUGAUAAGUCUGAAGUUAAAGGCUGUGGCUCAACCAUAGUUCGCUUUGGAAACUGUCAAACUUGAGUGCAGAAGGGGAGAGUGGAAUUCCAUGUGUAGCGGUGAAAUGCGUAGAUAUAUGGAGGAACACCGGUGGCGAAAGCGGCUCUCUGGUCUGUAACUGACGCUGAGGCUCGAAAGCGUGGGGAGCGAACAGGAUUAGAUACCCUGGUAGUCCACGCCGUAAACGAUGAGUGCUAGGUGUUGGAUCCUUUCCGGGAUUCAGUGCCGCAGCUAACGCAUUAAGCACUCCGCCUGGGGAGUACGACCGCAAGGUUGAAACUCAAAGGAAUUGACGGGGGCCCGCACAAGCGGUGGAGCAUGUGGUUUAAUUCGAAGCAACGCGAAGAACCUUACCAGGUCUUGACAUCCCGAUGCUAUUUCUAGAGAUAGAAAGUUACUUCGGUACAUCGGUGACAGGUGGUGCAUGGUUGUCGUCAGCUCGUGUCGUGAGAUGUUGGGUUAAGUCCCGCAACGAGCGCAACCCCUAUUGUUAGUUGCCAUCAUUCAGUUGGGCACUCUAGCGAGACUGCCGGUAAUAAACCGGAGGAAGGUGGGGAUGACGUCAAAUCAUCAUGCCCCUUAUGACCUGGGCUACACACGUGCUACAAUGGUUGGUACAACGAGUUGCGAGUCGGUGACGGCGAGCUAAUCUCUUAAAGCCAAUCUCAGUUCGGAUUGUAGGCUGCAACUCGCCUACAUGAAGUCGGAAUCGCUAGUAAUCGCGGAUCAGCACGCCGCGGUGAAUACGUUCCCGGGCCUUGUACACACCGCCCGUCACACCACGAGAGUUUGUAACACCCGAAGUCGGUGAGGUAACCUUUUGGAGCCAGCCGCCUAAGGUGGGACAGAUGAUUGGGG
rnacentral:rRNA from 1 species